rnacentral:rRNA from 1 species
CGUGCUAAGGUAGCAUAAUCAUUAGCCUCUUAAUUAGAGGCCCGUAUGAAUGGAGAAACAUUUCAAUUUCUUUAUUAAAUAAUUUCUUUUAAAUUAAAUUAAGAAUAAAAAUGUUCUUAUACUAAAAAAAGACGAUAAGACCCUUUUGAACUUUACUGAAGUUUAGCUGGGGCAGCUUUAAAAAAAUAAUCUUUUAUUUUAUUUUCAAUAAAGACCCAAUUAAAUUGAUUAAAUGAAUUAAGUUACCAUAGGGAUAACAGCGUAAUAUUUUUUAAAAGUUCUUAUUAAAAAAAUUGAUUGCGACCUCGAUGUUGAAUUAGUAUAACUUUAAUGCAAUAAUUAUAAAAGUGAGUCUGUUCGACUCUAAAAAUACUACAUGAUUUGAGUUCAAAUCGGUGUAAACCAGAUUGGUUUCUAUCUUUUGAUAAAAUUUAUUUAGUACGAAAGGACCAAUAAAUUUAUUUUAAAU